AAAAGUUCGUUCGAUUUUUCCUUAAGAUUAUACGGGAAAACCCGAAGGAACUUUUUUG
ensembl:miRNA